rnacentral:rRNA from 1 species
UCGCCCUUCGGUUGAUCCUGCCGGAGGCUACCGCUAUUGGAGUUCGAUUAAGCCAUGCGAGUCGCGAGAAAUUAGAUUCUCGGCGUACCGCUCAGUAACACGUGGGUAACCUGCCCUAUGCUGGAUAAUAACCUCGGGAAACUGAGAAUAAUGAUCCAUAGUUCACUACGCCUGGAACGGUGAGUGGAUGAAAGCUCCGGCGGCAUAGGAUGGGCCUGCGGCGUAUCAGGUUGUAGGGGGUGUAACGUACCCUCUAGCCCUCUACGCGUACGGGUGUUGGGAGACAUAGCCCGGAGAUGGAUUCUGAGACACGAAUCCAGACCCUACGGGGUGCAGCAGGCGCGAAAACUUGGCAAUGCGAGAAAUCGUGACCAGGGAACUCCAAGUGCAUCGGGUAAGACCGGUGCUUUUCUUGACUCUAAAUAGGUCUUGGAAUAAGGGGUGGGUAAGGACGGUGCCAGCCGCCGCGGUAAUACCGGCGCCUCAAGUGGUAGUCGCUUUUAUUGGGCCUAAAACGUCCGUAGCCGGUCUGGUACAUUCGUGGGUAAAUCAACCAGCUCAACUGGUUGAAUUCUGCGAGCACGGCCAGACUUGGGACCGGGAGAGGUGUGGGGUACUCUCAGGGUAGGGGUAAAAUCCUGUCAUCCUGAGCGGACCACCUGUUGCGAAGGCGCCACACUAGAACGGAUCCGACGGUCAGGGACGAAGCCUAGGGGCACGAACCGGAUUAGAUACCCGGGUAGUCCUAGGUGUAAACGCUGUGGACUUGAUGUUGGGGGCGCUCCGAGCGCACUCAGUGUCGAAGCGAAGGUGAUAAGUCCGCCGCCUGGGAAGUACGUACGCAAGUAUGAAACUUAAAGGAAUUGGCGGGGGGGCACCAAAAGGGGUGAAGCCUGCGGUUCAAUUGGAGUCAACGCCAGAAAUCUUACCCGGAGAGACAGCAGAAUGAAGGUCAAGCUGAAGACUUUACCAGACAAGCUGAGAGGUGGUGCAUGGCCGUCGCCAGCUCGUGCCGUGAGAUGUCCUGUUAAGUCAGGUAACGAGCGAGAUCCCUGCCUCUAGUUGCCACCAUUACUCUCAGGAGUAGUGGGGCGAAUUAGCGGGACCGCCGCAGUUAAUGCGGAGGAAGGAAGGGGCCACGGCAGGUCAGUAUGCCCCGAAACUCUGGGGCCACACGCGGGCUGCAAUGGUAAUGACAAUGGGUCCCGAAUCCGAAAGGAAGAGGUAAUCCUCAAACAUUACCACAGUUAUGACUGAGGGCUGCAACUCGCCCUCACGAAUAUGGAAUCCCUAGUAACUGCGUGUCAUUAUCGCGCGGUGAAUACGUCCCUGCUCCUUGCACACACCGCC